rnacentral:rRNA from 1 species
UGGGGAAUAUUGCACAAUGGGGGAAACCCUGAUGCAGCGACGCCGCGUGAGCGAAGAAGUAUUUCGGUAUGUAAAGCUCUAUCAGCAGGGAAGAAAAUGACGGUACCUGACUAAGAAGCACCGGCUAAAUACGUGCCAGCAGCCGCGGUAAUACGUAUGGUGCAAGCGUUAUCCGGAUUUACUGGGUGUAAAGGGAGCGUAGACGGCUGUGUAAGUCUGAAGUGAAAGCCCGGGGCUCAACCCCGGGACUGCUUUGGAAACUAUGCAGCUAGAGUGUCGGAGAGGUAAGUGGAAUUCCCAGUGUAGCGGUGAAAUGCGUAGAUAUUGGGAGGAACACCAGUGGCGAAGGCGGCUUACUGGACGAUGACUGACGUUGAGGCUCGAAAGCGUGGGGAGCAAA